UUUCUCUCACCCACGCGGCCAUCUCCCCACUUAUCUCCUUCUCCAACCUCCUAAUCCAUCUAAUGGGAUCCCUCCCUGGCCAGUGAUGUGCAUCGCCUUCACACAGGGGCGGCAAUCGAUUCGUUUGGUGGCGGACUUGAGGGAGACUCGAUGGGCGGCGAGCGAUUUGAUGCGGCGGAGGUUGGGGGACAGAGACCGGCCGGCGGGUGCCUCAGGGCUUCUUCUUCCUCGUCCACCCCCUCCAGAUGUGGCGGCGCACAUGAGGCGGCGGCGGCGGCUCUAAUCCCGCGGUUCAUUCUGGUGGCCGUGAUUUGGUGCGGGCGUGCCGUUCCGCUGCCUGGGCCGGCGAAUCCUGACCUCUCCGCUCUGUUUCUGUCCUGCAGGUAGCCGUGGUCCCACUUCUCGGGCGGGAUUUGCGGCACUGAGGCGGCCGGCGCGACGCGAGCUUGGGGUUGUGCUUGUGCCCGCCGAGGGGCGUGGCUACCGGCCACUCAAUCGGGCACCGGAGGAAGCAUAAGGAGGAGGGGAUGCUGCGGUGCGCCGUGAUCUUAUCCCGGCUGCGUGGUUAGGUUUUGGGCGAGGAUGGAGGGGACGAGGGCGGCGGAGUUGGCCGGCGGCGGGGCCGGGGAUGUGCAGAUUAAGGUCAGAGGAAGCAUCUGCUACGAGGAACAUCUUCGUCUUCAACCUACAGGUGGAAUAUGCAGAGCAAGCACGGGCGUGCAUCCGUGCCGCCUUGGGUAGCCACCCCAGAUUCGUCGUGCCCCUGCACAUUAUGAUCUGAUCGCUCAAGCUGAUCCUGAGGAGAGGUGAAAAACUACCAGCAUGUACAAUGCUCGUCAUGUUUGGCGUACAACCUGUUGCGUGGCAAUGACGGCUUUGCAGGGCGGCGGUGUUGGCGCUGGAGACCACCUUUGGCUCGGCUCCUUGUCGCCGUUUUGCCAUCCGCCCUUGCGCACGUCCCUCCUGGCAAAACUCUAGUCGUCGUGCGGGGAUUGGUUGCCAUCGACGUUGUUGCCUUGGAGCUACCAGCGCGUGAUUUGACCUAUGACGUUUCAUGCCUGAGUGCUAUUUAUUGGACUCACUCCACUUGAUCCCAAGUGAUGCGAUCAUACAGGACAAACAAUUUCCUUUGAAGGGGAGAGCAUUUCAAAGGAAGCACGGACUGGAGGUGUAAGGUUAGAUGGCAAGCUAUUUUGCUCAUGCAGUUUGAUGAUAAAAUUCAUGAAGUCCACUUGUUUAUUUGUCUCAUGAUUAAUGGUUAUUUUUUUAACUUCCAAAAAUCGGCUAGCAAGUGAUAUACUAUGAUUAAACAUGUCAUAAUCCAUUGAUUUAUGGUCACGGUUACAUUUGAUAAUUUAUAAUCACAUAAAUGAACUUAAAUUGUUUCGGGCCUGGCAUGCUAGCAUUGCUUUACAUUAUAGUACAAUGAAUAUAUGAUGGAAACAACAUCGCAAGAUCACUCAGCACUAUAGGCCAGCACAGAAAACACACAUACACUUCUAGUUUACAUGACGAGUACUUCAUUUGUUUGCAUCAUCCAUGCAUGUUUAGCUUUCAAAAUAAAUUAUUAUGUUGUAACAAAACCUUAAUCUAAGCUGAUCAAAAGUAUGUGUAGAAUAGGGCUGCUUCGUGCAUUCCUAGGUGGUUUUCACCAAGUCAAUAAGCAGGUACAUAUAUGCUAGGUAUCCAAACGGUUGUAUAAUUGUAGUUGGUCUAAUUCUCUAUGAAAUUGUCCUUCUUUGCGUAAAGUGAAAUCUUCCCAGUUUUAUUAAUAGCAAAUGUUCUAUUUCUUGCAAAAGUGGGAUAAAACUGAAGUCUUGUUCUUUUCGAUCAAUUCGAGAAACAAAAACAAACCCUUGGCCAAUGGAAUUUUAGGGAGUAAAGAUAGAACAUAUGUGGUUGAAGGAAACAUGCUUGGAGAACAAUAUGUUGCAGUCUCUGUCCGUGGCUCAAUCUAGGAGAUGAGAACUGGUUAGACCAUAUGAAAAACUCCAAACAGCAGGAGAUGUUGGUUAUGUUAUUGCUUGGCCUUCCUCACAUGUAAGUAUGUUUCCAUACAACCAUCAAGUAUGCUCCAAUAUCCACAUUUAAGAUACUUUAGUUAUCAAAAUCUUUGUGGCUGUUUUUAGGUAAGAAAAAAACUAAGCCAACCACUCCAACGAAGCAUUUGUAUGAUACACUUAUAAUUUAUCAAAGAACAUCUUAUCUUGCACUUCUAAAAACAUUGUUCAUUUGCUUUUCUAGGGCGGUUCAGGAUUUGGAAAGAGAGUGCAUUAAGGGAGCCAGGAGUAAUUGGGUAGUUCAGGAUUUGAAAAGGGAGCCAGGAUUAGUUUGUGAAUGAACAAGUGGUGUUCCUUAUGUUAUAUUUUAGCUUAAUUGAGAAACAUAGUUCUAGACUAUAGGAUAUUUCUUAUUUAUUUGUAUGUUCUGUAUGAAUGUAUGUUAUUAUUCAGUUGUGAACUUUGGUGUAAGUAUCUACUCAGCUUGCCAAUUUUGAUAAUGCGAUGUUUGCAAAUGCAAUCUACGACGUGGAAUGGUGCC
rnacentral:rRNA from 1 species